GCAACAAAGCAAUCAAGAAAAAGCUUUAGCAUAAAAGGGCAACAGGUGAGCUCUUCUGUUUUGGAAUUUUUUUUCUGCCUGGAGAUGGAAAGUGUAUGACCAAAAUCCACAAAUGCGUAUAACCCUUCUCCAAGCUAUGGAAGACGCAGAUGGAGAUAUAGCAGUUGAUGCUUUUCAUGGCUGGAUUCGCCAUGCUAGGCGAUAUUUCCCCCGCUGCUUGGCCAGGGAAAACAUUGCUUGUGAUGUGGAUGAGGUGCUGUGGCCUGAGCGAAACAGAAGAGAGGAUG